rnacentral:lncRNA from 1 species
GAGAGGCUGUGGGAGCCCGGCUUGUGGUGAGUUUUUGUCUUGCUUCCUCAUUUGCCUGUGUCAUUGUGAGGAUCAGUACUACUACCCCACACCUGACAGUAAUAGUCAGCCUCGUCCUCGGCCUGGACUCCUGUGAUUGUCAGUGUGGCCGUGUUCCCGGAGUUGGCACCAGAGAACCGGUCAGGAAUCCCGGAGGGCCUGCUGUUAUCAUUAUACAUGACCA